AAAAAAAAAAAAACUACAGGACCACAAUUUUGAUUGUGUGUAGCAAAUCCAUUGGGAAAACAGUUAUAUAUGUUCGGCUUUCACUAUAUUUUAAACCAUGUUAGAAUUCAUCUGGUCACAGUAAAAUUGUUAUAUGAGCAUGGGAAGAACAGCGACAACCCAAAAGAUACCGGGAGUGUGAUCCUGUAACCAGAGUAGUCAAGGGAGUUUUAUUUCUGAUUUCAAUGGGGCCAACAUUUCAUCCCCAGGUCCACUCUUCUGCUGAGGAUCAUCCACAUGGCAACACUAGAACAUAUUUUAACCAAUUCCUAGGAUACAACAGAAAUUACACUGUGGUUGGGAAGUGAGUGAUGUGGCGUGUUAGCCCUGAAUUGUUUCUCAGACAGCAUCAGCUAGCAUUUUAAUUUCCACUCUUACUAACCCCCGUGCAGCUUGACAAGCAGUAACACUAGCAUGGAAAGGCCCUGAGUGUUUUUAAACUAAGACAGUAACAGUUAAUCUGAAGACAUGAUGGCUAAACAUCAUGCGAGUGCUCCCACAGUUCUUCCCACAUAGUGCAAUUGUGCAACAUUUCUUAAAAGAUUCCUUGUCACUAGGCCUCAUACUAAAACUUCCUCCUCAUCUAGUUCUGUUUCACUCCAGUACAUGCAAAUUCCACUGAGCAACUACUUUUGAAAUUCAGUGAUUAACAGGUGUUUUGCUGCUUUUCUGGGACAUGUUACUUAGGGUGCGCCUCUGUCCAGGCUGAGCAAAGUAGUCUCCACUGUCUCAUGAGAAAGAAAGGAACUGAGCUGACUGCAACUACUCUUUGCAAGGAGUCUCUUUCCAAAAGGAACUAUGCACACAAAAGCCAGCAGAACCAAAAGCCACUGUCAUUCCAGUGGCCAGGAGGGGGCGGGAGGGAACAAGGGUGCAGAGUAAAGGGAGAGUAGUUUCUGCCUGGUACACCUGCUCCUUUUGCAGUGACACACUGCUUUUACUGCAUUAAAGGGCAGCAAGAUUGGGGAAACCAGGACAUCUGAAAUUAGGAAGAUAUUAGUAGUCUAAAAUCAUCUAGUUCAGGGGCUGACACACUUUACGAGUGUGUGACUGGCAGAGUUUUACAUUUUCAUCAUAUAAAGGGAAAAAACAAGUUUUUAUUUUAUCCAACAGCAGUUAAGGGAUUCUUGCUUUCUAACCUUUUGGAGCAUCUUGCUCAUUCCAUCUAGCACCUCCUUGUUCUAACAGUUUUGUUUAGUCCAACCUUUUUUUAACAGAACGUUCAGCAUUCCUAGGGCAUCAGAUCUAGAAAAUAAAUCAACUGGAACAGCUACCUGGCAUGUAUUACAAAAUGCUACCAUUCUUACUGCAUUGUAAGCACCGCUAUUAGAGUCACAAUUUCACUACUUUGGCAAAACACUUUCUGCCAACAUUAUAAAUCAGGAAGUCCAUCUUUUAAAAAUGUGUAUCAUACUUUUCAUGAUCCAAAAAUUAACUCACUAGAAAGCAUUUAUAUCUAAAUACCAUAAGCAGAGCAGCACUACUGAAUGCUACUGGACAUGGGAGGCUAAAAAUGCUUAUAAGCAAUAUCCACAAAAGACUUUUAUUUACCAAAUUUAUCACAUUAGACAGAAUACAUUUGUAUCCACUAUAUUUGGUAGCCUUAAUAGGUUACACUUGUAAUAGCCACAUUCACAUUAGAUUUCAUUAAGAGCAUCAAAUCAAAACAUUUAUAUUACUCAUAACCCAAGGAAAAAAUUUGAACCUGAGUCUUCAGAAAUUUAGGGUAUACUGUAUUUACACUUAAAGCACUACAGCAGCAUAAUGUCUAUAGUGAAGUGCAGCGAACUACACUGAGAGGUAGGGUUCUUCCAGGAAUGCUGGCAAUCCUCCUCCCCAAGAGGUGAUAAUAAGGUCAACAGAAGAAUUCUUCUGUCAGCCUACCGCUGUCUACACUAAGGACAAAGUCAGAAUAGUGGCACCUCUCAUCAAGUUUAACAACUCUUGAAGUCGAUGGAAGGGACUUGGUGGUGUGCAAUCAUUGUUCAGAAAAAUUGACCUGAACUCCCAGUGUAGACCAGACCUUAUGAGUGUGGAUUUUUCACCCCUUUAAGAGACAUAAUUAUGCUGAUAAAAGUUCCCAAAUGUAGACCAGCCCUUAGAAAUAGUGUUUUAACCUAAUACACUACUUAGCUCGUAUUCAGCACUUAACAUCUGCAAAGUUUCAUUUGUUAGAUCAUGAUUUGCAGCUAGCUUGGAAAAAUACUUGUCUGAACAGAUUCCCUAUGAAGAAAGAUUAAACAAACCGGGACUGUUUAUUUUUAGUAAAGUGACAGUUAAGGCGGGGAUAUGACAGAGGUCUCUAACAUUAUGAACAGUGAGAGAGAAAAAAAAAGUGUUAUUUACUGCUUCACAUAACACAAACUCCAGGGGGUUUAACACAAAAAUUACUUGUUCACACAAUGCUUAGUCAACCUGUGGAACUCCAUGCCAGGAGAGGUCACAACAGCUAAAAACAUAACUGGGUUAAAAAAAAAUUAGAUAAGUGCAUGGGGAAUAGGUCCAUUAGUAGAUAUUAGCCAAUAUGGUCAUAGACCUGUGCUCUUGGGGUCCCUAAGUCUGAUUGGGAGAAGCUAGGACUGGAUGACAAAGGAUGGACCACUUGAUAAACUGACCCGUUUUCUUCACUCCCUCUGAAGCAUUUGGCACCAGCCAGUAUGAGAAGUCAGGCUACUGGACUCCAUGGGCCAUUGUUCUGACCCAGUAUGGCCUAUUAGUUUUUAUUACAAAAUCUAUUUUAGGAACUCUGACACAAGCCUAAUGGAUUUAUUCAUAUUUUAUAAGGCUAGAGUUCAGUUGUUGCUAAUGUUUUGUUUUCUUUUAAAUUAAUUAUCCUGAUUAUAGCUAUAUCAUUAAGCACUCUUCUAUUGAAGUUAUUGCUUACAUAUUUCCCUUUCUCUAAGGCCAUAUUAUUCAUCCAGUUCUUGAAUUGCACUUUUUAUGGGAUAACCGGAAACAACACCAGCCUCAUCAAUAAAACAGACAUUCUGCAACUGGAGAACUAGAUGACUCUGUAGCGUGAAAUAUAACCAGACACCUCGAAGGAAAAGCGUACUUAUAUGGCAAAGGAAAACCAAUGGAAACAAAUGACGAUGAACCUCAGUAACAAGCAACUUCUCUCCCUAAUGAAUUCCACCAUAAGCACUUUUGGAGAGUGACA